AGUAUAGUACGAAUAAGGAUCGGCUAACUCCGUGCCAGCAGCCGCGGUAAUACGGAGGAUCCAAGCGUUAUCCGGAUUUAUUGGGUUUAAAGGGUGCGUAGGCGGUUUGAUAAGUUAGAGGUGAAAUACCGGGGCUCAACUCCGGAACUGCCUCUAAUACUGUUGAACUAGAGAGUAGUUGCGGUAGGCGGAAUGUAUGGUGUAGCGGUGAAAUGCUUAGAGAUCAUACAGAACACCGAUUGCGAAGGCAGCUUACCAAACUAUAUCUGACGUUGAGGCACGAAAGCGUGGGGAGCAAACAGGAUUAGAUACCCUGGUAGUCCACGCAGUAAACGAUGAUAACUCGUUGUCGGCGAUACACAGUCGGUGACUAAGCGAAAGCGAUAAGUUAUCCACCUGGGGA
rnacentral:rRNA from 1 species